AGCGAACGCUGGCGGCAGGCCUAACACAUGCAAGUCGAACGAACUCUUCGGAGUUAGUGGCGGACGGGUGAGUAACACGUGGGAACUUGCCUUUAGGUUCGGAAUAACUCAGGGAAACUUGUGCUAAUACCGAAUGUGCCCUUCGGGGGAAAGAUUUAUCGCCUUUAGAGCGGCCCGCGUCUGAUUAGCUAGUUGGUGAGGUAAAGGCUCACCAAGGCGACGAUCAGUAGCUGGUCUGAGAGGAUGAUCAGCCACAUUGGGACUGAGACACGGCCCAAACUCCUACGGGAGGCAGCAGUGGGGAAUCUUGCGCAAUGGGCGAAAGCCUGACGCAGCCAUGCCGCGUGAAUGAUGAAGGUCUUAGGAUUGUAAAAUUCUUUCACCGGGGACGAUAAUGACGGUACCCGGAGAAGAAGCCCCGGCUAACUUCGUG
rnacentral:rRNA from 1 species